UACGUAGGGUGCAAGCGUUGUCCGGAAUUAUUGGGCGUAAAGAGCUCGUAGGCGGUCUGUCGCGUCUGCUGUGAAAACUCAGGGCUUAACCCUGAGCUUGCAGUGGGUACGGGCAGACUAGAGUGCGGUAGGGGAGACUGGAAUUCCUGGUGUAGCGGUGAAAUGCGCAGAUAUCAGGAGGAACACCGGUGGGCGAAGGCGGGGUCUCUGGGCCGUAAACUGACGC
rnacentral:rRNA from 1 species